GAUGAACGCUGGCGGCGUGCUUAACACAUGCAAGUCGAACGAGAAGUGGAGACGGAAACCUUCGGGCGGAAGACUUUAUUUCGAGUGGCGGACGGGUGAGUAACGCGUGGGUAACCUGCCUCAUACAGGGGGAUAACAGUUGGAAACGACUGUUAAUACCGCAUAAGGCCACAGCACCGCAUGGUGCGGGGGUAAAAACUCCGGUGGUAUGAGAUGGACCCGCGUUCGAUUAGCCAGUUGGCGGGGUAACGGCCCACCAAAGCGACGAUCGAUAGCCGAUCUGAGAGGAUGACCGGCCACAUUGGGACUGAGACACGGCCCAAACUCCUACGGGAGGCAGCAGUGGGGAAUAUUGCACAAUGGGGGAAACCCUGAUGCAGCGACGCCGCGUGAGUGAAGAAGUAUUUCGGUAUGUAAAGCUCUAUCAGCAGGGAAGAAAAUGACGGUACCUGAGUAAGAAGCCCCGGCUAACUACGUG
rnacentral:rRNA from 1 species